UGGGAUAUAUCUCAGUUGUAGAAUGCUUGUCUGUUAUACAGGAGGCCCUAGGCUCAAUCCCUAGUACCACAC
rnacentral:tRNA from 1 species